rnacentral:misc_RNA from 1 species
AAACUGCGAUAAGUAGUGUGAAUUGCAGAAUUCAGUGAAUCAUCGAAUCUUUGAACGCACAUUGCGCCCCUUGGUAUUCCAUGGGGCAUGCCUGUUCGAGCGUCAUUUGUACCCUCAAGCUCUGCUUGGUGUUGGGUGUUUGUCCCCGUCUCCGCGCGUGGACUCGCCCCAAAGUGAUUGGCAGCCGGCGUACUGGUCCCGGAGCGCAGCACAUGUCGCGCAAACGAGUGCCUUGGUACGGCGGCGUCCAUAAGCCCCUCUCUCACGCUCUUGACCUCGGAUCAGGUAGGGAUACCCGCUGAACUUAAGC